CCCCCCCUCCUUUCCUCCCUUUUCCAUUGCACCAAAGUGAUCCUAAUUUUCAAAACCCUAUUUUUAUUUUCUUUUCACUUUCCACUCUCUCUCGCGUCACCUCCAUUUCUCUCUCCCAAAACCCUAAUCCUCUCAUCUCCCAUCUUCCCCACCUCCAGCUCUCUCGACCUCACCACACACCAUAACCACAAGCCACCACCACUCUCUCUCUCUGUUAAAGGCCAUCGCCUCGCCAUCUCCGGCCGAACUCAAGGCCGUCUCUGGCGAAUCGCAGACCGAUUCUCGGUUUCUCUCUCUCGGUCUCAUCUAUUCUCCCUCGGUUUCAUCUCCGGUCGAUUCUCGGCCAAGGGCCACUGUUCACUCUCUCCUUCUCGGAUUUUCCUCUCUGCUCUUCUGUCCUCCUCGGACACCAAAGGAACGGUAGAGAGAAGUGGUUCACCAUUCACCAUGGGGAAAAAAAAGAGUAAAAAGGGUGGCAGUCAAUGUGUGAGGUGGUAUAGGCGUUGACGUACACAUUAUAGAUGGAAAAGAAAAGUGUUACUUGACCCCGUUUGGCAUCGUGACCAUCCCCAAAAAAAUUGAAGAUCUGGAAGAACAUGCAGCGCAUGUGUUACUUUUGCAUCAGCUUUAUCGAGUGGACUCGGGUGGCUCGGGGCUAUACGAAAAUUUUGAAGAAGAUCUAUCUUCAUGGCUUAAAAAGAAUUCCGUAACAUAUGUCAACAGCCAUCGGCGGCGGUUUGUACAACUAAGGAAACAAAGAAAUUGAUUAUGGGAAUUUUAUCGUGCGUCCUCAUGCUCCAUGAAUGUGGAUAUUGUUUAAUUGGAGAUAUAAGAAGUGAAGAAAUUGGUGUAAAAAAAGGCAUUCCGAAACUAUCUGUCAAAACAAAAAAAUGGAAUAGCCAAGGAGAUCAAGUCAGGGACUUAUCCAUUGCUGAAUUAAUCCGCAAUCAUAUUUUCAAAAACACCUCCAAUUUGCCAUCUGAUAUGGAUGAGUCCUGUAAUCUUCUUGAUGAUGGAAGGCUUGAUGGGGAUAAAUUGUACCUUUUACCUCGCCAUUUUUGUUUGAUGAGUCAUUUGGAGCGUAUUGAUUUCUGUUCGAGGGUUUUGUCUGAAGUCGAUUCUCUAGGUGCUGUCCAUGCACAGCAAAUCGUGACGGCGGUGAAUGCAUAUGAUUUCAAGAUGGGGGCAGUGAUUGGCGCAAGCUGAUUCCACUAGGGUCAGAAGCUUAUGCUGUGUACAAAAUUAGGAGCUAUAAUGCAGACAACUGGACUCAUUUGACAUUUAUAAUGAACCUCAGGCACCGAUUGGUUCCCCGGAAACUCUAUGAUAGUAAGAAUAAUGCUGUGUCUCAGUAUUCUUACUUGAGUACUAAGCAACUGGGUAAGAAUGCAAAGUAUGUUGAUGACUGCAUUUCGGCUCUUUUCCCUAAAUCCAUGGCACGCGUGCAAGCCUUAAUGAGGACAGAGCAGAUACUCGAAACCUUCCUGUAAGGUUUAGACAUCACGCUGACUUCCAUUGUUUUGAUCUGAAGCUGAAGAUGACUUUUCAAGAGGAGUUUGGUUUUUUUCUUUCUUCCUUAGAGAGGAAUAUUUGAAUAUAUAUCCUUUUUUGAGAAGGAAUGAAGCUUUCACUCCAUUUGUUUUGUUUUGGGAAGGAUUAAAUUGUGGUGUUGAAUUGAAUUAUUUGUUUGGAUGUCCUUUCUAGGGUUAUUGAUUGUUCCUUAUGGUUGCAGACUUUCAAAUUGAGUGAAAGCUUCAUUGCACAA